UUUUCCUGAUCCAGUGUCUGCAACUGGAGAGGAAGCUACCGUGUCCAGCCUGGCCUAACUCUAGUUUAGGCAGAGGGGCAGUGUUUCGGGACUGGGUUAUCAUUGGUGAUCUGGGUAACAUGUGGAGGGAAGACCUUAGUGGUCCCUACAUUUAAGGCAGCCGUUUCCGGAUUGCUGCCUUGCAGAAAGGCAGAAAGAGGUGAUAUCCUUCAAAGAACAGCACACUUGGUGCUGAGGUGGAGGAGAGAAGCAACUUCUGGUCAUUGAAUGACUCACCAAGGUCAGGAGUGACCCAUCUGUGUGAAACUCCAAGAGGCAAGGCUCACGAGAGCUCACUCACACUGCCAUGUCAAGGGAAGUGCCUAAAAGUGAGAAGAAAUCUGAGGCCAACGUUCCAGGUGUGGAGAAGCUAUUCUGAGCAAGGAGCUAGUCAACAGAGAGGAUGUCACAGUUCAAAUUCAAUAAAGCAGUGGAUUCUAUGAAGGAGACUCAGGGAAGAAAAAGGCAAAAUAUUAGGACUAAAUUUUAAAUGGGAAAAGGUAAGAUCUAAUUAGAUCCAAAUGAAAAAUCCUUAAUCAGUUAUUAACAGAAAAGGUAGACAUAAAAUAAGCAAGCUUCUAAAAGGCAAAGUCUCAUACUAAAACGGAAGGCCAAUUUGCUCAGGAAACUCAUAUUUCCUGCCCACUUUGUUUGCUUGGAAAACACAGGAGAGCAGACCAUCUGGGGUAAUUAAUUCUGGGGUAGAAAUGUCAGAACCUGGGUAAACAGAGAUUAGCGCCAAGAUAAAAACAAUAAAAGGAACCAGGAACUAAAAGAGAAACCACGUUUCAAUAAAUUCAAAGGGGUAGAAUUCUGGACAAAACUCAGAAGAAGAUUCCAGGGAGAAACCUAUUUUGCCAUUGGUUAACUUUUUGAACAAAAAAAAGUCCUGGUGAGGACUCUUGCUCUUUCAUAUUUAAAUCAUCUCAGGUUUUCAAUCAAUUUCUGUAAAAUGUCCACAAGUCAAGAAGAAAGGUGUGUAAAUACCAUUUAAAAACAAACUCCUGGGCAGCCCGGGUGGCUCAGCGGUUUAGCGCCACCUUUAGCGUGAUCCUGGAGACCCGGGAUAGAGUCCCACAUCAGGCUCCCUGCAUGGAGCCUGCUUCUCCCUCUGCCUGUUUAACAAUACUGUACUGUAUACUUAAAAAUUUGUUAAGACGGAGAUCUCAUGUGAGAUGUUCUUACUGCCCAAAUCCAAACAAACAAGGAUCGUCCCUCCCUCAAAAAAAAAAAAAAAAAA
rnacentral:lncRNA from 1 species